rnacentral:rRNA from 1 species
AUACGGAGGGUGCGAGCGUUAAUCGGAAUUACUGGGCGUAAAGCGUACGUAGGCGGUUGGUUAAGUUAGAUGUGAAAGCCCCGGGCUUAACUUGGGAACUGCAUUUAAAACUGGCGAACUAGAGUUGAGUAGAGGGGAGUGGAAUUUCAGGUGUAGCGGUGAAAUGCGUAGAGAUCAGAAGGAACACCAGUGGCGAAGGCGACUCCCUGGACUCGAACUGACGCUGAGGUACGAAAGCGUGGGUAGCAAACGGGAUUAGAAACCCCAGUAGUCC